AGGUACAAAAUUCAGCCACGUUAAGCAACUUUAUGAGAAGCAAGAACUUAGUGGUUAUGGAACUUUACCUUCGGUUGGGGCGACCACGGAGGAAAAGCAAGCCUCCGAGUGGAUUGGGCGAAACCCCUAAAGCCAAAAGAAACAUCUUUAAGCCGCAGAACAUCUGACCAGAAAUGAUCCGGUUGAAUAAAACCGAUCAACGGACCAAGUUACCCCAGGGAUAACAGCGCAAUCCUCUCCAAGAGCCCAUAUCGACGAGGGGGUUUACGACCUCGAUGUUGGAUCAGGACAUCCUGAUGGUGCAGCCGCUAUCAAG
rnacentral:rRNA from 1 species